rnacentral:tRNA from 1 species
UGCAUCGCCCGGGAAUCGAACCCGGGCCUCCAGCGUGGCAGGCGAGCAUUCUACCACUGAACCACCGAUGG